AACGAACGCUGGCGGCGUGCCUAACACAUGCAAGUCGAGCGCGAAAAGGGCAACCUGAGUAGAGCGGCGCACGGGUGCGUAACACGUGGGUAAUCUGCCCUAGAGUCGAGGAUAACUUUCCGAAAGGUUAGCUAAUACUCGGUAAGCUUACGGUGUCUUCGGACAUUGUGAGAAAAGUAGGCCUCUGUUUAUAAGCUUACGCUCUGGGAUGAGCCCGCGGCCCAUCAGCUAGUUGGCGGGGUAACGGCCCACCAAGGCAACGACCGGGUAGCUGGUCUGAGAGGACGAUCAGCCACACUGGAACUGAGACACGGUCCAGACUCCUACGGGAGGCAGCAGUGGGGAAUUUUUCCGACAAUGGGCGAAAGCCUGAUGGAGCAACGCCGCGUGUGUGAUGAAGGUUUUCGGAUCGUAAAGCAC
rnacentral:rRNA from 1 species